rnacentral:tRNA from 1 species
GCCCUUAUAACUCAGUGGUAGAGUAUCUUCUUGGUAAGAAGAAAGUAAUGAGUUCGAUUCUCAUUAAGGGCU